AGGUAGAAGAUAGCGACAGAGUUUGAAGGUAUGUGCAAAGAUCUUCUCCUCCGUCGCCGUCCGCGACAAAGCUGUUGGGUGCAUCCGUCCAUCAUCUUUAGAUCUGAGUGAAGAGGGCAUCCGUCCAUCUCAAAAGGAUAUGGAUGACCAUCUGAAGGUAUGCAGGUUUCUUCCCAAACUUAACGACGAGAUACUAGGUGAAAGAAAUGCUCUCUACAAGGAAAGGUUGACCAGCCUAGAGAAUUUAGUACUGAUCAUGAGGUGAUCGACGCAGACUACCGCGACCCGGUGGGCGUCGUGCUCUUCAACAACUCGGAGGCGGACUUUGCUGUGAAGCCCGGCGACUGCGUCACACAGAUGAUUGUCCAGGUGAUUGCGAUGCCGGAGGUCGCCGAGGUGGAGGACCUUGACGUCACCG